UCAAUUGUAAAAGCCUGGUGUUUUUUUGUGAAAUACAGUACAACAAAAACGGUCUAUAGCGACACUUUUAAAUAUCGGUAUAAGUCACAAAAAGUGCUACUGGCUAAAUUACCGACACUUUUAAAAAGUAUUGCUAUAUGUGGGGUCGCUAGGUAUAUAGUGACAGUUAAAGAGUGUCGCUAUAAUCUAAAAGAGUGCUGCUAAUUUAUCAAUAUUUAUUUAAGCACCUAGCAACCACCGGAACUCUACCUCGUUGGUUGCGGCGGCGGAGAAAGACGAGAGGAAGGGAUCUUCGUCUAGAAUUUCAGUCGAUUGAGUGAGAGGAGAAGGGGAAAUGAUAAUCGAUUUUUCUUUCCUUUUUCUUUUAUUUUUCUUUUCUGUGUGUAAUCAGGCCGAAUGGGCUGGAUGGGGUGGGUUUAGUAGAGUACCCUUUUAUUUUUGAUUGGAUUAGACUUUAUAUUUAGGCAUUAGUAGGUUUUUUUUUAAGUUUUGACAUAAAUAUGACACUUACACAAAAAUGUCCUAAACAUGUGCCCCUAUAAUCUAAUUCUGUUGUAGUGAUAACUGAUGUGAAGGGAAGCUAAUUAAUUGAUAGGAAAUAAUCUAUGUGCGAGAAGAGAUUUUAAAAAAAAAAAAAAA
rnacentral:lncRNA from 1 species